AAUGUGCCUGUGCAUCUCUUCC
rnacentral:miRNA from 1 species